AAAUCCGGCAUAAAUCCUGGCGGUCUAAAUGUUCAGUAUAUUUACAAAUUCGAUCUAUUUUCUGUUCAGUAGACUUUGAUAGCUUAAACGAAAGUUUAUAACGAUGAUUUUCUCUGCAAAAACUGUACUUCCGAAAUUCGUCAGCUUCUGAAUUUGAAAACCAAUCUGAAAAAAAAAGGAACAUUUGAGUGUAUGGUUAUUGCAUGGUUCUAUAUAUAUUCUAUAUAUACUGCCAUUGUGCACACGCAUAACAAGUGCAGCAACGCAACAGUUUAGACAGGGUCAUGAGGCAGGAUGUGUACAAGAAAAGCU